GGGAAUGUGGCUUAGUGGUAAAGUGCUUGCCUAGCAUGCAUGCCUGAACCCCUGGGUUCAAUUCCUCAGUACCA
rnacentral:tRNA from 1 species